UACAGAGGUCCCAAGCGUUGUUCGGAUUCACUGGGCGUAAAGGGUGCGUAGGCGGUCAGAUAAGUCUGAUGUGAAAUCUUCGAGCUCAACUCGGAAACUGCAUCGGAAACUAUCUGGCUAGAGGAUUGGAGGGGAGACUGGAAUUCUCGGUGUAGCAGUGAAAUGCGUAGAUAUCGAGAGGAACACCAGUGGCGAAGGCGAGUCUCUGGGCAAUUCCUGACGCUGAGGCACGAAAGCUAGGGGAGCAAACAGG
rnacentral:rRNA from 1 species